UACGUAGGGCGCAAGCGUUGUCCGGAAUUAUUGGGCGUAAAGAGCUCGUAGGCGGCUUGUCACGUCGGGUGUGAAAGCCCGGGGCUUAACCCCGGGUCUGCAUUCGAUACGGGCAGGCUAGAGUGUGGUAGGGGAGAUCGGAAUUCCUGGUGUAGCGGUGAAAUGCGCAGAUAUCAGGAGGAACACCGGUGGCGAAGGCGGAUCUCUGGGCCUUACCUGACGCUCAGGCGCGAAAGCUAGGGGAGCGAACCGG
rnacentral:rRNA from 1 species